rnacentral:rRNA from 1 species
UACGAAGGGGCUAGCGUUGCUCGGAAUCACUGGGCGUAAAGGGUGCGUAGGCGGGUUUUAAGUCAGGGUGAAAUCCUGGAGCUCAACUCCAGAACUGCCUUUGAUACUGAAGAUCUUGAGUCCGGGAGAGGUGAGUAGAACUGCGAGUGUAGAGGUGAAAUUCGAUAGAUAUUGCAAGAACACCAGUGGCGAAGGCGGCUCACUGGCCCGGUACUGACGCUGAGGCACGAAAGCGUGGGGAGCAAACAGGG